rnacentral:rRNA from 1 species
GAUGAACGCUGGCGGCGUGCCUAACACAUGCAAGUCGAGCGGAGAUCUUAAGGCGUACUUGUACAAAUUAAGAUUUUAGCGGCGGACGGGUGAGUAACACGUGAGCAAUCUGCCUUCUGCAGGGGAAUAACAUUGUGAAAACAGUGCUAAUACCGCAUGAAAUCCGACUGGGGCAUCCCGGACGGAUCAAAGGAGAAAUCCGGCAGAAGAUGAGCUCGCGUCCGAUUAGCUAGUUGGUGAGGUAAUGGCUCACCAAGGCGACGAUCGGUAGCCGAACUGAGAGGUUGAUCGGCCACAUUGGGACUGAGACACGGCCCAGACUCCUACGGGAGGCAG